AUUGAACGCUGGCGGCAUGCUUUACACAUGCAAGUCGAACGGCAGCGCGGGCUUCGGCCUGGCGGCGAGUGGCGAACGGGUGAGUAAUACAUCGGAACGUGCCCAGUAGUGGGGGAUAGCUCGGCGAAAGCCGGAUUAAUACCGCAUACGACCUGAGGGUGAAAGCGGGGGAUCUUCGGACCUCGCGCUAUUGGAGCGGCCGAUGGCAGAUUAGCUAGUUGGUGGGGUAAAGGCCUACCAAGGCGACGAUCUGUAGCUGGUCUGAGAGGACGACCAGCCACACUGGGACUGAGACACGGCCCAGACUCCUACGGGAGGCAGCAGUGGGGAAUUUUGGACAAUGGGCGAAAGCCUGAUCCAGCAAUGCCGCGUGUGUGAUGAAGGCCUUCGGGUUGUAAAGCACUUUUGGCGGGAACGAAAAGGACUGUGCCAAUACCACGGUUCGAUGACGGUACCCGCAGAAUAAGCACUGGCUAACUACGUG
rnacentral:rRNA from 1 species